rnacentral:rRNA from 1 species
AUUGAACGCUGGCGGCAGGCCUAACACAUGCAAGUCGAGCGAGCGGGGGACGGGGGAGAAAGGUAUGGGGGCAGCUCGAUAGAGGGGGAUAACUACAGGAAAAGGGAGCUAAAACCGCAUACUAUCGGAUAACCCAUAUGGGAUUAGCUAGUAGGUGAGGUAAUGGCUCACCUAGGCGACGCUCCCUAGCUGGUCUGAGAGGAUGAUCAGCCACACUGGGACUGAGACACGGCCCAGACUCCUACGGAGGCAGCAGUGGGGAAUAUUGCACAAUGGGCGCAAGCCUGAUGCAGCCAUGCCGCGUGUAUGAAGAAGGCCCUAGGGUUGUAAAGUACUUUCAGUCGGGAGGCGUUACCGACAGAAGAAGCACCGGCUAACUCCGUGCCAGCAGCCGCGGUAAUUC